UUUAAAACAUUUCAAUUUUACACCUGUUCAAACAAUGUGUGCUCAUGUUUCUGGAACUAAUAUAUACUGUGUGUAUUUAAGCAGAAAUGUUUUUCAAGUAUUCCUCGUUUUAUUUUUAAUUUGACAGUUUAAACAUGUUUUAUAACUUUUUUUUUAUCAUCGAUAGUAAUGAAAUAUUGAAUGUCACCAUAGCUCUAAUGAUUUUAACUAAAACAUUUAAGACUUUAAAAUGUUUGUGUAGAGCAUAGACAAAACAUGUGUUCAUGGUUUUUUUUUUUUGUUUUUUUUUUUCAUGUUGCUUGAUUGCCUGUGCAAUGUACCAAGUAAAUUGGGGCAUAUUUUUUUCUUUUAAAUAACUUCAAAACGAAUUACUGAGAAUUCUUAAUAGAAAAGAACCGUCAACAGUGAAUUUGUUCAAACUUUUCUGAAACUGGUUAUAUAUAUAUUAUUACUUAUGGUCAUUUAUUCUCAGUGGACAAGGUCAUUGCUUUAUUGUUUUACACACUCCAAAUUUUAGAAUUGUCAAUAUUUCCAUCAACCAAGUGUUCCUGCUAAAUCCCAAGAUGAUGUCAGACUCAGUCCUGCGCCACCACCCCACAGUCCUGCUCCUGUUAUUUUGACUCUUAUGCAACAUUCACUUCAAAUCCAAAAUGUGUGCACAAAUACUCAGCUGGGCAGAGUGUGUAGCCUCCCCACCACCGCUGGACCUGCGAGUUCAUGUCAUUAUCACACAGAAGACCAGAUCUGCCUUUGAGUUUUUCUUUUCCUCCACUGUGCAUCACAUUUUGGAAAGCUGAGACUGAGUCAACUUCAUCUUGGGAUGCCAUUUUUUGUACUCCUUACUCAUUUGCUUAAGUCACAUUAAUACUUGAACGAUCAUAGGGAUAUUUAUGAUAGAAUGCCUUAAAAUGUACACUACCAGAUAAUUCACACAUCACAUGAACAUUAGAGGUGCCUCAGUGAAACAUCAGCCUAUCUUCAGUCACUGGUUUACUGUAUUCUGUCUCCUGUUCAACCAAAGUGCCUACGUCACAAAUGUUUAUUGCAUGAAUGUAUGUAUUAUAUCGGAUUGGCUCCUUUCAGUUGUUUUCUCUCUGAUUUUCAUAGCAUGCAGAAAAAGGCUUAACAUUUUAUUUUGCUGAUUAUUUUGUUUUUCUCAUUAUGCAGUUCUGUUCUUUUAUUUUUACACCUUUAUUUUGUUUUAAUCAUGUUCUUGUUUUGGAUGUGCCUUGCAUGUUUUACUAACUUUACAAAGAACAUGGGGGGGAUGUUCGUGUAAAAUACUGUUUUUAGCAUCAUAAACUGCAUAUUUUAACAAUGGGACAAAUGUUGCUUUAGUUGAAAAUGAGGAUUUUGCUGUAUGUGAACAUAACACUACGUUGUAAAUAAAUAUGCUCUAAAUUGA